UCUCCCAGUCCUCCUCUGAACCUGCUGUUGCUUUGUGCGACCUGUUGGUGUGCGGCGGGUGGCGGUGCGGUGAGUGUGUGGCGGUCCGGCGCGGUGCGGAGAGGUGUAGACGUUGGUUUCGUUUUGCGGGUGUGUUGGGCGGUGCGGUUGUGUUUGGUGCUUUGCAGCCGGUGUGUGCGGCGGCGCGAAGGGUGCUAGUGCGGCAGGUGUUGCGGCGGUGCGGGGCGGUGGUUCUUCUUCGUUCGUUUCGACAGGUUAGUUUCUUUUCGUUUCUUCUAUUUUUUUUUUAAUGUAUGUAAUGUGUAGGAUUGGGUAGCUUUCUCUAUUGUUGAUAUUUGGUUGG
rnacentral:lncRNA from 1 species